rnacentral:rRNA from 1 species
UACGAAGGGGGCUAGCGUUGCUCGGAAUCACUGGGCGUAAAGGGUGCGUAGGCGGGUCUUUAAGUCAGGGGUGAAAUCCUGGAGCUCAACUCCAGAACUGCCUUUGAUACUGAGGAUCUUGAGUUCGGGAGAGGUGAGUGGAACUGCGAGUGUAGAGGUGAAAUUCGUAGAUAUUCGCAAGAACACCAGUGGCGAAGGCGGCUUACUGGUCCGGAACUGACGCUGAGGUGCGAAAGCGUGGGGAGCAAACAGGG